rnacentral:tRNA from 1 species
UAGCUCAGUGGUAGAGCACUUGCCUGGCAAGUGCAAAGGCCUGGGUUUGAUCCCCAG